rnacentral:rRNA from 1 species
UACGGAGGGGGCUAGCGUUGUUCGGAAUUACUGGGCGUAAAGCGCGCGUAGGCGGACCUGCAAGUCGAGGGUGAAAGCCCGAGGCUCAACCUCGGAACUGCCUUCGAUACUGCGGGUCUCGAGUCCGGGAGAGGUGAGUGGAAUUCCUAGUGUAGAGGUGAAAUUCGUAGAUAUUAGGAAGAACACCAGUGGCGAAGGCGGCUCACUGGCCCGGUACUGACGCUGAGGCGCGAAAGCGUGGGGAGCAAACAGG